CAGGGGUUGAACCUGGGUUGCAGGCAGAUUCUUUAUCAUCUGAGCCACCAGGGAAGCCCCAAGGAUAUUAGAUAUUUGUUAAUUAGCAUAGAGCUGGAGCCUUUCAAGGCACUGUAGGAGAGAAAAGAUGAAUGAAAGAGUCCUAAGAAGCUUUUUGUCUAAUGGAGAAACAAACCAUACCCAUUCACCUGAAAACUGCAAUGAUGAAAUAUGAAAACUGCACCAUGAUGGAAUAUGCACAAUAUCAUCAAAAAAUGAUGAUAAAGCAAUGGUAAAGUUUGCUUGGGUGAAGGACUUAAAGGGAUCUGGGAGUUAAUGAGAGGACAUGGAGUGUGACUGGCUUCAUCAUGUGCUGACCCACAAUAUGCAUGGAGGUUGGCACACCAGUGAAGGACAUGACAGCCACCUGCACCAGGGUCCCACUGAUCAUGGAGAGUUUGUCUACUUCAACACUGUGAGGAAUAUGCUGUGAAGUACUGGAGAGACAAUGGCAUCCCUUUAGAGAAACUCAUCAUGGAGUUCACCACCUAUGGGAGGACCUUCCAGCUCAGCACUUCUGACACCUCAGUCUGUACCCCAGUUUUUGGAGCAGGGUCAUCUGGUCCUUACACACAUGAGGCUGGCUUCUGGGCUUACUAUGAGGUGCUGAUGAAUUAUGGGAGCUGGAUGAGAGCAAGCCACUCAUUGUUAGCAAGUUUUGCAAGUAUGAGAACUUUGAUUUUGCUCAUCCACGGGUAGUCAUGUCCUUCAGAGAAGAAAUAUAUCAAGAACUUGAGUCCUGGAUGAUUCUGCUGAACACCUGAAUUAAACAAUGCUGAUUAAGCCACCUCUUCUGGAUUUCUUGCAAUGAAUGUUAAUAAAUUUUUAUUUUAGUUAAA